rnacentral:rRNA from 1 species
GAGUUUGAUCCUGGCUCAGAACGAACGCUGGCGGCAGGCCUAAUACAUGCAAGUUGAGCGCAUCCUUCGGGAUGAGCGGCGGACGGGUUAGUAACGCGUGGGAACGUGCCCUUCUCUAAGGAAUAGCCUCUGGAAACGGAGAGUAAUACCUUAUACGCCCUUUGGGGGAAAGAUUUAUCGGAGAAGGAUCGGCCCGCGUUAGAUUAGAUAGUUGGUGGGGUAACGGCCUACCAAGUCUACGAUCUAUAGCUGGUUUUAGAGGAUGAUCAGCCACAUUGGGACUGAGACACGGCCCAGAUUCCUACGGGAGGCAGCAGUGGGGAAUAUUGGACAAUGGGCGCAAGCCUGAUCCAGCCAUACCGCGUGUGUGAAGAAGGCUUUCGGGUUGUAAAGCACUUUAAGUAAGGAGAAAAAGAUUGUAGUUAAUACCUGCAAUCCUUGAUGUUACUUACAGAAUAAGGACCGGCUAAUUCCGUGCCAGCAGCCGCGGUAAUACGGAAGGUCCAAGCGUUAAUCGGAAUUACUGGGCGUAAAGCGCGCGUAGGUGGUUUUUUAAGUUGGAUGUGAAAGCCCUGGGCUCAACCUAGGAACUGCAUCCAAAACUAGAUGACUAGAGUACGAAAGAGGGAAGUAGAAUUCACAGUGUAGCGGUGGAAUGCGUAGAUAUUGUGAAGAAUACCAAUGGCGAAGGCAGCUUCCUGGUUCUGUACUGACACUAAGGUGCGAAAGCGUGGGUAGCGAACAGGAUUAGAUACCCUGGUAGUCCACGCCGUAAACGAUGACAACUAGCUGUUGGGAGACUAGAUCUCUCAGUGGCGCAGCUAACGCUUUAAGUUGUCCGCCUGGGGAGUACGGCCGCAAGGCUAAAACUCAAAUGAAUUGACGGGGACCCGCACAAGCGGUGGAGCAUGUGGUUUAAUUUGAUGCAACGCGAAAAACCUUACCUACUCUUGACAUACUUGGAAGCUCUUGUAAUGAGAGUGUGCUUUUAGAGCCAAGAUACAGGUGCUGCAUGGCUGUCGUCAGCUCGUGUCGUGAGAUGUUGGGUUAAGUCCCAUAACGAGCGCAACCCUUACCCUUAUUUGCCAGCGGUUCGGCCGGGAAAUAUAAGGGGACUGCCGGUGACAAACCGGAGGAAGGUGAGGACGACGUCAAGUCAUCAUGGCCCUUACGAGCAGGGCUACACACGUGCUACAAUGGGGAAUACAGACGGACGCUAAAGCGUGAGCUGGUGCUAAUCCUAAAAAAUUUCUCGUAGUCCGGAUUGCAGUCUGCAACUCGACUGCAUGAAGUCGGAAUCGCUAGUAAUCGCGAAUCAGCAUGUCGCGGUGAAUACGUUUUCGGGUCUUGUACACGCCGCCCGUCACACCAUGGAAGUGUGUUGCACCAGAAGUAGGUAGUCUAACCCUAGGGAAGGCGCUUACCACGGUGUGAUCCAUGACUGGGGUGAAGUCGUAACAAAGGUAACCAAGGGCGAAUUCCUAGCCACCCUG